AAAAGAAACCAACAGGGAUUGCCCCAGUAACGGCGAGUGAAGCGGCAACAGCUCAAAUUUGAAAUCUGGCCCCCCGCGGGCCCGAGUUGUACUUUGGAGAGGACGCUUCUGGCGCGGCGCCGUCCGAGUUCCCUGGAACGGGACGCCGGAGAGGGUGAGAGCCCCGUACGGGCGGCCGCCUAGCCUCUGCGAAGCUCCUUCGACGAGUCGAGUAGUUUGGGAAUGCUGCUCAAAAUGGGAGGUAAAUUUCUUCUAAAGCUAAAUACCGGCCAGAGACCGAUAGCGCACAAGUAGAGUGAUCGAAAGAUGAAAAGCACUUUGAAAAGAGGGUCAAACAGUACGUGAAAUUGUUGAAAGGGAAGCGCCUGUGGCCAGACUUGCGCCCCGCGGACCACCCGGCGCCUCGCGCGCCGGGGCACGCCAGCGGGGCGCAGGCCAGCAUCGGCUCUCUCGGGGGGACAAAGGCCGCGGGAACGUAGCGCCCUCGCGGCGUAUUAUAGCCCGCGGCGCCAUGCCCCCGGGGGGGCCGAGGACCGCGCUCCGGCAAGGAUGCUGGCGUAAUGGCCACCGGCGACCCGU
rnacentral:rRNA from 1 species